UAGAACGAAAUUUAUGAAGAAAAAGCAUGAAAUUCCAAAGAAUUCUGGCCACGUGGAAAAGUCUCAAUGCAGCGAAUUAAUAGGUAUUACUUGUUUGUGUGAAUUUGUCGCCUUUAAUAUCGAGAUAAAACGUUUGAGAGCAAACUUAAAGGAUUUCUAAGCAUUUCAAGUCUAUUUGCUUUGAUUUUUCAUGAAAUUUUGUCCAGGAAAUUGCGAUUAAGUUUGCCGACCUUUUGACCGCGUGUUCUUGACUAGGCAGCCGUGUUUGCCUAAAUUUGACCUCCAGGGAUUACAGAAUACUGUUUAGAUUUUCUUAAAUGUUCUGAUUACAUUUCUCAUCGCUUUCAAGCAAAAGCUUUAAGAGUUUAAACACAAAAUUUUGUACAAUACAUGUGUUCAAAAUGUAUUCGUCCAUGAACUCCAAAGGAUAGUAAGCGAAUUUACUUGUCACAAUUAAGUAUACAUAGCUGUCCUGAUUGAGACAUUUGAAAAUAAUAUUUCUCGUUUUUUCAUAAAGAGAAAUUUAGUCAUUCGUUUUAUCUCAGUUGAAGAGUCUCUAUGAAGGCUAUUGAGCCUGAACGCGAACUGUUAGCAAAUAUUUCCAUAGCAAUGGAGUAGGAGGUUUUUAGGUGAAAUAAAACAAAUUUGUGGCGUUACAUUUGUAGAAGAUUUUUUAGAAUUAGAACAUACGAUACUAACCAGUGUUGACAACGCGUCAGUUUCUUCACAAGUAGCCCGAGGCAAAAGAUAUUUUAUGUGUCUGUGGUUUUCACACAAACGUUUAAUUACUCCCGACUUGCCAUCAGAUGCGUAAUCGCUGCGUUUUGUUGGAGCGCUUGCUUUUUCUUACCAAGUUUUCAUUUCCUUAUUUUAGAACGAAUUUGCCACCGCCAAUGAAAGUUGCAAGGAGUUCGGUAAUUUCCCUAAAUGUACGCAAAUACGAAAUAAUUACAAAAAUAUCAAAUGCCUUUUUUAAGGACAAGGAGAUCGAUUAAAACAUGUAGGAUUUCAAUGAAGUAAGGGCAUGGAGAUUAUUUCAUUGUUGUACAUGGUUGACCUUCUGUGUAAAGUCUG